GCCUCGGUGGCCUAACAGGGAAGGCGACGGCCCGGAAAGCCGGAGAUUCCAGGUUCGAUUCCUGGCUGAGGAG